UGAUGUGUGUCGGUGUCGAUGGGAUGUGUGUCGGUGUCGAUGGGAUGAGUGUCGGUGUCGAUGGGAUGAGUGUCGGUGUCGAUGGGAUGUGUGUCGGUGUUGGUGUUGAGUGUCGGUGUCGGUGUUGGUUGUCAGUGUUGAUGGGAUGAGUGUCGGUGUCGAUGGGAUGAGUGUCGUUGUUGGUGGGAUGAGUGUCGGUGUUGAUGGGAUGUGUGUUUGUGUUGGUGUUGAUGGGAUGUGUGUCGGUGUUGAUGUGUGUCGGUGUUGAUGGGAUGUGUGUCGGUGUUGAUGGGAUGAGUGUCGGUGUUGAUGGGAUGUGGUGUCGGUAUUGAUGGGAUGUGUGUCGGUGUUGGUGUUGAGUGUCGGUGUUGA
ensembl:lncRNA